CGACUUAUCUUAUUUAUAAAUAAGAGUGACGGGCGAUAUGUACAUAUUUUAGAGCUAAAAUCAAAUUAUUWAUCUAUAUAAUUUUACUAUCAAAUCCAAUUUCAUAAAUAUAUUUCAUUAUUUAUUCCAUAUAAAUAAAUUUAUUGUAACCCAUUUUCACUUAAUUAUUAGCUAAACCUUGAUCUGAUAUAUUUUAUUAUAAUAACUUUUAAAAAUUUAUAUUUCUUUUAAAAUAUUUAUAACGACGGUAUAUAAACUUUACAAAAUUAAGUAAGGUCCAUCGUGGAUUAUCGAUUAUGAAACAGGUUCCUCUGAAUAGACUAAAAUACCGCCAAAUUUUUUUAAUUUCAAGAACAUAACAAAUACUCCUAUAGUUUUUUAUUUUUUAUUUAUAAUAAUAGGGUAUCUAAUCCUAGUUUAUUUCUAAAUUUAUAAAUUCAAUAUUAUAUUCUUAUAUAUUAAUUUAUAUAUUAAUUUAAAAUUUCACUUAAUAAAUUUAUUUUAUAAAUUAAUAUAUAAUAAAAUAAAUUUAAUUUUUACCAAUAAAUUUUAUUUGCAUAAUCUGUUUAACCGCAAUUGCUGGCACAAAUUUAAUUUAUACUAUUUAAUUUAACUAUUUCUAAAUUUCUUUAAUUUAAUAAUAUUAAUUACUGUAUAUAAUAUAAUUAUUUAAAUAUUAAUAUUUAUCACUAAAAUUUACAUGUAAAUCUAAUUAAUAAUAAAAUAAUAAACCUAAAUUAAACUUUAU
rnacentral:rRNA from 1 species